rnacentral:rRNA from 1 species
CCUACGGGGCGCAGCAGUGAGGAAUAUUGGUCAAUGGGCUUACGCCUGAACCAGCCAAGUCGCGUGAGGGAAGACUGCCCUAUGGGUUGUAAACCUCUUUUGUCAGGGAGCAAUUGGCGCUACGUGUAGCGUUAUCGAGAGUACCUGAAGAAAAAGCAUCGGCUAACUCCGUGCCAGCAGCCGCGGUAAUACGUAUGGUGCAAGCGUUAUCCGGAUUUACUGGGUGUAAAGGGAGCGCAGGCGGCGCGUUAAGCCUGGUGUGAAAGCACGCGGCCCAACCGCGGGACUGCAUUGGGAACUGGCGG